rnacentral:rRNA from 1 species
UACGUAGGGGGCAUGCGUUGUCCGGAAUUAUUGGGCGUAAAGAGCGUGUAGGCGGUUUGUUAAGUCCGCUGUGAAAGCCCUGGGCUCAACCUGGGAAUUGCAGUGGAUACUGGCAAGCUAGAGUGCGGUAGAGGAUGGUGGAAUUCCCGGUGUAGCGGUGAAAUGCGUAGAGAUCGGGAGGAACACCCGUGGCGAAGGCGGCCAUCUGGACCAGCACUGACGCUGAGGCACGAAAGCGUGGGGAGCAAACAGG